ensembl:lncRNA
GGCAAAACAUGUGAGGCUCAAAACAGGCGGGGCUCUGCCUAGUGUUUUCUCUUGUCCUACACCCUCCCUCCUCCUGGGAGAACCGUAGCAGAGUGGUCACCAGAUCGAGUUCUCUCAUCUCACCUGUGACGCAACAUAUUGGCUGCCAGCCGCCGUUAAACCACAACGAAGAAGAAGGAUGGGCUGGGCGGUAGGAAACGAAAGUAAACUGUAGCGCUCUUCUUCGGCUGAAUCGCUCGUCUGGAGUGUCUGAAAACGGACCCGUCCAUGGCCACCUGCUGUCCAGCUGAGAUCCUGAUAAUGGCAGAAAUAUGCAGAGAAGAAGAAGGAAAAGAGGAAGAUGAUGAUGAAGAAGAAUACAACAGAGAAGUGGUUUGUCCACAAGAGGGCGACGCACUACUAGAGACCUUUGGUAGGAUGUGUCAUGGGAUGAGCUGAGCUGCUCAAAACGAAAGGAAACUGUAGCGCUCUGCCAUCGGGCUUCAUUAUUUUCCAGUCGGCUGGCUGCGCCUGGAGUGUCUGAAAAUGGACUCAUCAAAAGUGGUAGCUGCCUCUGAGAAG